rnacentral:rRNA from 1 species
AGUGAACGCUGGCGGCGUGCCUAAUACAUUCAAGUCGAACGAAGUUGCGAACGGGUGAGUAAUAUAUAGUUAAUCUGACCUAAAAAGAGGCAGCACAGUUGGAAACGGCUGCUAAUACCUCAUAGUGUAGGAUGAGACUAUAUCGUAUCAGCUAGUUGGUAAGGUAAUGGCUUACCAAGGCUAUGACGCGUAACUUGUCUGAGAGGCUGAUCAGUCACAAUGGAAAUGAGACACGGUCCAAACUCCUACUGGAGGCAGCAGGAAUGAAUAUUGCGCAAUGGGGGAAACCCUGACGAAGCAACGCCGCGUGGAGGAUGACACUUUUCGGAGCGUAAACUCCUUUGAUCAGGAAAGCGGUACCUGAUGAAGAAGCACCGGCUAACUCCGUGCCAGCAGCCGCGGUAAUAC